rnacentral:rRNA from 1 species
UGCGUAGGCAGCGAGCGUUGUUCGGAGUUACUGGGCGUAAAGCGUGCGUAGGCGGUGUCUUAAGUCUGUUGUGAAAUCUCCCGGCUUAACCGGGAGGGUGCGGCGAAUACUGAGAUGCUGGAGUGCCGGAGAGGUAAGCGGAAUUCCUGGUGUAGCGGUGAAAUGCGCAGAUAUCGGGAGGAACACCUGUGGCGAAAGCGGCGCACUGGACCGCAUCUGACGCUGAGGCGCGAAAGCUAGGGGAGCAAACAGG